UUACAUACUAUAGAGAAAAAUGGCAGACAAAUUGCCAGAGGAAGAGCAUCCAAAACCGGCCUUUGGAUGGGCUGCAAGAGACCAGUCUGGGGUCCUCUCCCCCUUCAAAUUCUCCAGGAGGUUCUUCCUCAUUCCCAUCACCUUACUUUUAGUCUCGUAUUAUUUGCUUUUUAAUCUCCUUUGUGCAUUUUACAUGUUCCUUAAGUCGGUUUAUAUAUUAAUUUAAACAAAAGGGCUAUUUCUAAUUUCUUGCAGAGCAACAGGGGAAAAGCAAGGUGUUGUAUUGUGGGAUAUGCCACUCCGAUCUUCACAUGGUCAAGAAUGAAUGGGGCGUUACUCAAUACCCUCUUAUCCCUGGGUACGUAUAUCCAUAUUGAGUAGCCUGUGUGUUUGUUUUCAUUUGAAUUGAUUGUUAUGUCUUGGUGGUUCUUAAUUUGGAAUGGAAGAGGAUGGGAUUUAGCCAUAAGAACACAAUUAAUUUCAUUUGAAUAUAUUCGGAGAGAUUUAAUCUGGAAAGCGAGUAAUUGUUUGGAGAUAACCCUUACAGAUGAAGAAAAAAAGAGAGAAAACAAGGUCUAGUUCUUCCCAAAUGCUGUGCUCCCAUAUAAAUUGUCAGGAUCCUAGCUAUAGCAACCCUUUUCAACUGUAAAAUGGCUCUUUGAAUUUCCUAUCAUGAAUUUUUGUUUCCUUUUUGUGAAUGAUUAAGAUCAGAAACUGUUAUUGAUGAUAUUAAAAUAUAACAAGAAGCCAACAAGUAACUGUAGCUAAAUCAGUUAAACAACGAGCAAGACAGCAUAAAAGUUCAAUUAGCCAGAAGCUAGAUUUCUAGGAAGGAAAACAGAGAAGCAUUUAACAGAAUAUUUGUUGAAGAUGCUUACUAAAUUUAAUGAUUCCAAUGAAUUUCCAUAAGAUUCUAGGAUCAGAUCAACUCCUUUUGCUCAUUCAUCAAUGAAGUUAAAGCGCUAUAGCUCUUAGAAUUUAUAAAUAUUGAAAAUCUAAGGGUAACGAGUUAAUUAACUGUCUGAAUGCAGGCAUGAGAUUGUCGGAGUAGUGACAGAGGUGGGGAGCAAAGUAGAAAAAUUCAAGGUCGGAGACAAAGUGGGUGUAGGGUGCAUGGUUGGAUCAUGCCGCUCUUGCGAUAGCUGUGACAACAAUCUUGAGAAUUACUGUUCAAAAAUGAUACUUACUUACGGUGCCAAGUACUAUGACGGAACUGUCACAUAUGGAGGCUACUCAGAUAAUAUGGUUGCUGAUGAACACUUCAUUGUUCGUAUUCCAAAUAACCUACCUCUCGAUGCUGGUGCUCCUCUCUUGUGUGCUGGAAUCACAGUCUAUAGCCCCUUGAGAUAUUUUGGACUUGACAAACC
rnacentral:lncRNA from 1 species